rnacentral:tRNA from 1 species
GUCGGGAUAGCUCAGCUGAGAGAAGGA